AUACCUCGGGAAACUGAGGCUAAUAGUGUAUAUCACAUCCACCACUGAAUGUGGGAUGUGUCAAACGCUCCGGCGCCGAAGGAUGUGGCUGCGGCCGAUUAGGUAGACAGUGGGGUAACGGCCCACCGUGCCGAUAAUCGGUACGGGUCAUGAGAGUGAGAACCCGGAGACGGAAUCUGAGACAAGAUUCCGGGCCCUACGGGGCGCAGCAGGCGCGAAACCUUUACACUGCACGCCAGUGCGAUAAGGGGAUCCCAAGUGCGCAGGCAUAGAGCCUGCGCUUUUGUGAACUGUAGGGACGUUCACGAAUAAGGGCUGGGCAAGACCGGUGCCAGCCGCCGCGGUAAUACCGGCAGCCCAAGUGAUGGCCGAUUUUAUUGGGCCUAAAGCGUCCGUAGCUGGCCGUGCAAGUCUAUCGGGAAAUCUACCUGCUCAACAGGUAGACGCCCGGUGGAAACUGCACGGCUUGGGACCGGAAGGCGCGAAGGGUACGUCCGGGGUAGGAGUGAAAUCCCAGUAAUCCUGGACGGACCGCCGAUGGCGAAAGCACUUCGCGAGAACGGAUCCGACAGUGAGGGACGAAAGCUAGGGUCUCGAACCGGAUUAGAUACCCGGGUAGUCCUAGCCGUAAACGAUGCCUGUUAGGUGUGGCUCCCACUACGAGUGGGUGCUGUGCCGUAGGGAAGCCGCUAAACAGGCCGCCUGGGAAGUACGUCUGCAAGGAGUAACU
rnacentral:rRNA from 1 species